CAAUUCAUAGUUUAUAUAAAGAACUUUUCACUUACACUGAGAUAGAAACUGUGUAACUCAGUUUGAAUUGA
rnacentral:tRNA from 1 species